UGGCCCGUGGUGUAACGGUAGCACAGGGGUUUUUGGUACCUCUAGUCCAGGUUCGAAUCCUGGCGGGCCAG
rnacentral:tRNA from 1 species